GUCACCAGCACAGAAGUAAUGCUCUACAUCUACCCUGUAGAUCCGAAUUUGUUUGACAUUGGGCGACAAAUUCGGUUCUAGAGAGGUUUGUGUGGUGCAUACAAUGCAACGUGCAACCAA
rnacentral:precursor_RNA from 12 species